CAAAUGGUUGCUUCAAGGUCUGCGUUCUCCCCUGCCGUCGCAUCGGAUGGUCGUCUUCACAAAUACUGCUGCUUUCAUGUGACCUUUAAAAAUCAGAGGGGGGAAAAAAGUUUCUCUAAGCAUAGCUGCUCCCAAGGGCAGGUACAAAUAGCUCUUUCCAGGGCUGCCAGCUCUUUGGCAGCCCUCAAUUGCACUGUGGUGUGCGUACGUAACUCCUUCGAGUUCAAAGAUCUGGGCUUUUUUAAGAUGGCAAGUAGCUGCAACUCACAUUAGGCAAUGUGCUUCCUUGGUGCUGUGCUUGUCCCGUUACUGGUUUAUCUGUCGCUGCUGCUAUUGGUGCCACCACUGAUGGAGAAGAGGCAGAGUAAGGGUUGUGGCUGCUAGUGGGAGUGACGCGAGGGCUGGUGUCUACAGCCAGGAGCACGACCACAGCGGUAAACUCGGCCACUGCUGUAGUCCAGUGCAUUUGAUCUUCAGGAAAGUGCAUGAUUUCACCAAGAACUGUCUGCUUUCCUCUAAGUAAGAGGACAUUGAGGCAAGGCCAAACAUGAGACCGAGAAAAGCAAAGGUUUUAGGGUAGCUUUGGUGAGGAGGGUGAAGUGGGAAGGCAGUCCCACAGCUUCAAAACGGAGCCCAAAACCGGGUGUGUAAACUCGAUACACAUGUUUUAAAGCAGAUGUUGGGAGGAGGAAGGGAUUGUGGAUAUUUGCUCAGUAAAAAGCUUGUAUUGAUUAGUUCAAAAGCCGUACUGAAGCGAAGCACGGGUCCUGAACUGCUGGCCAAUUUGGUGCAGGGAGCCUGAGGCCUCCGGCAUAAACAGGGACUUGAUGAUAGGGAAUCCAGUGUUGAUAUACCUCUGUUGCUGGUGUUCCUAUGGUUAUUGCUGCGCAGAUGGGCUCUGCCGUAUCUCUCUGUCUUGCUGAGUGUUGGGAACAAAGAGGGGAGGUUGCGCUUGGAUUUAUCUUUAUUCCACAGCCUGGAAUUCUAACAGAAAGGGAAAAGGGCUGCUGCUUGGUUUCCUUCACCUUUUGUGUGCGGAGGAGAUAUAACUUGAAGUUUCUCUUUCUUCCCCUUUUCCUCCUUAAAUUUUUUUUCUAAACUAUCACAGAAUAAAUUCCAGAAACGGUUCCUUAAACAAACAGAACUCCCAGCUGAGUCUCUCGAUGCAUUUUACAAAGGAGCGAGGAAUCCCCGUGCCGCCUUGCUUGCAAGAUGUUUACCAAGGUUACAUACCGAAUCUCUGCAGCAGGACUUGUGACUCUUGUGAUAACUGUGGCACAAGAAAUCAUGGUGCCAGUUGCCCACUGUUGGCCAGGAGCAGCUGGCAGAAAGGACUUCUGCUCCAGCCUGAGCAAACAGUAUCUCCCCAGCUUUCUCCUGGCAGGAACAUGCAAAACAAGAUGACAUGGCUGGUGAAGGUUUGCUGCAGGUCUGAGCUGGUGUGAAGGUUUCUGGAUGUGCGGAGCAGCCCCCGCUUUGCCAAGGCAGGCUCUUCCCAGGGCCCGAUCCUCGUUGGCCAGAGGUGGUAUUGUGUCUUUCACAGACCCCUGGUGUCAGGACAGGCUUUCACUGGGCUGUUUUCUUCCAGGUGAAGAAGGGAAAGAAGGUGAUGUGGAAAAGCAGAGAAUCCAGGCAGCAGCCACAGCCUUUGGCUGAGCAGUGUAUGUGGACUCGCGCAGGUCUCUGUCACAUGUGGCCUCUGAGGAAUCGUGAACCCCAACACCGUGGGCUGGGCUGAAGGAGUUGGCUAAUGGAGAGUUUACGAACAAACGAGAGGCCGUGUCCCAGCUGGCUGUGCUCACGAGCAAGACCUGGUACUCACAAUGCCUUUCUACUGCCACUGUUGAUAAUGAUAACCCAGCCCGACGCUGUGCCACACACCUUGCAGAGACCAGCGCCCACAGUGCCUCCCUUUCUUCUCAUCACCUGUGUGGAUGUGGUAAACAAAUGUAAACUGAUAUCUGCAUUGGUGCAAUUUGCUGAUGGAGUUAACCAAUUCACAAGUUGUUUUUCCACUGACAGCUGUACCAUCCCUGAUACUCUCAAGGUCUUACUAAAGGCUUCAAGAACUUGUGCUGGAUAGGUGACUCUUUUUCUACGCUCUCAUAUUCUUCCGCGGUUGUAUCUGUAAGUUUUCCAUAGCAUCAAUCAAAAGAUCAAUCAAGGUGUACUCCUUUCAGCCUACUGCUUUCAUGCUAUGAAAAAAAUAGCCUUAUAUACUGGAAGGCAAAUUGAUAAAUCAUAGAAAAUGUCCCCAUUUUGCAAUCUUGUGAUAGCCCAGAAACUCUGAUAUCUGUGGUCAGCCACAGCCUUAGGCACUGCCAAAGCUGUAUGUAUUUCUUUGCCUGUUUCCCCCUCCUUUUUUUUUUAACUCCUAGUUAUGAUGUUUGACGCAUUUAUUGUAGGCAUAUAAUACAGCCUGCCCAUGUGGGUGAAAGCCACCAUUACUGACCAUCUGCUUUCUUCACAGAAUUCUCCAAAUGUCAUCUUCUUGCUCUGCUCCUUGUCAUCUGGAGACGGUCCUAAGUGAAUCACUGCCAUUCCCUUAUUUGCUGUUUCCCCUUGGACUGCAAUGCUCCGAAGGUGUUAUACUCUCAAGAAAUCAGCCGUGCUCAGCUGAGGGACAGGUGGAAAUUGUUAAUAUACUAAGGUGUAUAAUUAUCAAAGCAUACCCAAACAACCAAUUCCUUUAGUUGUAUCUGGGAAUAUAAAAAUGACGAGAGAUAACAGUGCUAAAUUGAUGCUUCUCUCUUAUCCUUUAUAUUUGUUUCCCUAGACUUCUUAGGCCAGGGACUGUCUUACAUAUAUGCAUAAGGUGCUUAGCACAAACAAGCUACAAGCGCUAGAUGGUGUGCACUGUCAUUGGAUGGGGGUUCCUACUUCACUUUUUAACUCUGCUCAUAUUAAGGUUAUGUUGGAAAAUGACUGAGGUGGGAGAGUUUCAUCUACCUUUUGUGUAAGAUAGUUUAUUGACGUUAUCAUAACAUGGGAGUUUAAUAAUAAAAACAAGAAUUAAGGAUAUUAUUUUAUCUUUGUCUUGCUCCAGUUCUUCACCAGCAAAUCUGUGGAUGCUAAUCCUGCUACUAAUGUUGAUGCUCUUUCCCGCUCUGUAUUUUUUUUCCUGAUCUUUUCAAAAAUAAUCCAAGUCCUUCAGCAUUUCUUCCACUUCUAAUUUCAUUUCCCUGCUGUGUAGUUUCAGUGAGUGAAAAUAUACUUCCCUAAUUUUUGAACUACCUUUUUCU